rnacentral:rRNA from 1 species
GAUGAACGCUGGCGGCGUGCCUAAUACAUGCAAGUCGAGCGAACAGACGAGAGUGCUUGCACUCUCUGACGUUAGCGGAGGACGGGUGAGUAACACGUGGGUAACCUACCUAUAAGACUGGGAUAACUUCGGGAAACCGGAGCUAAUACCGGAUAAUAUUUAGCUUCGCAUGAAGCAAUAGUGAAAGACGGUUCUGCUGUCACUUAUAGAUGGACCCGCGGUGUAUUAGCUAGUUGGUGAGGUAACGGCUCACCAAGGCAACGAUACAUAGCCGACCUGAGAGGGUGAUCGGCCACACGGGGACUGAGACACGGCCCAGACUCCUACGGGAGGCAGCAGAAGGGAAUCUUCCGCAAUGGACGAAAGUCUGACGGAGCAAUGCCGCGUGAGUGAAGAAGGUGUUCGGAUCGUAAAACUCUGUUGUAAGGGAGGAACAAGUACGUUAGUAACUGAACGUACCUUGACGGUACCUGACCAGAAAGCCACGGCUAACUACGUG